GACACGGUGGCAUAGUGGUUAGCACUUUCGCCUCACAACAAGAAGGUCAUGGGUUCGAUUCCGGCCUGGGGCC